rnacentral:lncRNA from 1 species
GUUUUACCACUUAGCCAUUGUUGUGGGAAAUGAUAAGGAACAGAAGAAGGUGCAAUAGGGGUGUUCCGUAAUUCCAGGAAGUCAUUCAUUUCUCAUUGUAUUUCUUUUAUCUUUUCAUGCACAGAUGCACGUUAUACUUCCUCUUACAACAGAAUUGUAACAGAAUAAAAAGCCUUAUUGAAACGGUGAGUAUUGACUCAUCCAAACGAUGAGUUUUAAUAACAACAAAACGGUGCGUUUAAAGGUAAUUAAAACGGUGCAGUUUAUAAUAAAGUGACCAGUAACUUCCUUUUGAAUUAAAGCCCGCCAUUAACUUCUGCUCUUUCUUCAGCUUGUAACAUAUAUCAUGCUAAAAACUCACCCUUAAAACCCCUUGCCUGCCUGCCUCUCUUAUAUAGCAAAAAUAUUCAUACAUAGUAUAACCGUGACGGCGAAAUUCAUACAUCCAGCCACUUAAAGACUUGUCAAUAACCUUAAUUAGCUUUUAAUGAUUCAUGUUCCACGGAGACUCAACAGCUUGAUAUCAUCAAUAACAGGUCCACAAAGAGAAGAGAAGUCAUCACUCCUCAUGGUGUAAAAUGUGCUAUAGAACAUUAUUCUUGUUCUAG